CAAAUGGCGCGGAAUGAAAAAUGUGUGCACGUGGCGAACGCGCGUACGCAGUAUGUACCGAUGCGCGAUAUAAAUUUGUUCACCUUCCAGCCCACUUACGGUCCGGCGCCUGCCGACCGUUGGGCCGGCCGCGAAAAGGAAUCAAAUAUGACGCGCAGGCGGCAUUAUCGAAACACAAUACGCGACUCAGCCGGGAUGCGGGCCGCCAAUUUGUCGCAAAACACGCGAAUGCGGGAACUGUAUCUCCGUGCCCAAUCACGACGGUCCAUCGUGAAUUUGGUGUGAUGCGAAAUUAUAUUGGUCGGCCGUAUUACAUCUACCACUUUGAAUUUUGGAUUGUGAGAAGUUCACCAUCACUGAAACAUAUCUAUAGUGAAAGAGGUACUGGGCCUCGAAAAGUGAAGCAGCGAGACCAAUUUUAGGGCAUCCUCUCUUUGUCGUACGCAUAUGCGUUACUCUGUUUCGAAAGAGACAGGCGUUACAUGGCAGCACCUUUUCAGCAUACUUAUAUUUCGGUGUUCACUAUUGAAUGGAACGACCCCAGAAAACCUUUGAA